AUGGAGGUGAUGGAUGUAGGCAUUGGGAUGGAGCGCAGGAAGAGGCCUAGGAAAGCGAGUGGAAAAGCUGCCGAAGCAGAGGCGGCGGCGGCGGCGGCUGCGGAAGCUGCUAGGGCGGCGGCGGAAGAAGAAGCUGCUGGGUGGGAGGAGUUCGAGAAACGGAUGGCAAACCCUCCGACGGCCGAGGAGCUGCGCGCGAGCGAGGAGAGCUGGGAGAAGUUCUGCAGCGAAUCGUGGGAGAGGUUCCGCGAUAGAUGGAUCGAUGUCUGGUCGCACGGCAUGAUCCCCUUCGACGCCGUCACGCAAAUCCCCUGCAUGCGUUUCACAGACGCCGACUUGAGGCACCCUGAUUUCCGGAACAUCCUCUAUCCGGAGGACACACUACAGAUCGUCUCCGUCCAAGUCAAGGACCUUACUGGUGGCUUGCAGUGGCCCCUCGAUGUCUACGGCGUCGUCGCCGUACGCGAUGGGGUGGAUCGCUUGCGAAAUGUGGUUUUCAGCCGUGAAAGGGACGACUGCCAAAGUAUCAAUGAGCAGGAUUCAUACCUAACACUGACAGGCCCUAGUCGCGGUGUUGUCAUGUCGCAUGAUAACUCACAUUUGGAGGUAAUGCUCAAAGUGAAGGGUACUACGGAAUCUGAAGAUAAAGAUUUAAACAAAUUUGUGGACUCAUACAGGCUGGGCUGCUUCCUUCCUAUUGAGUACACUAGCAAGCUUUGCACAGUGGAGAUGCAAUACUACACUGCUUUUAGGUCCGUGGAGGCCACGAUUUUUGUUCGAGUGUUUAAAGGGCGAUGGCCACAAGGUUUUCGAGGUGUACUAACUGCUAGUACCUUGGAGAAAAGAGACGUCCAAAUCUCACUGCUGGAACUUAAUGAUGAUGAAUUGUCGGUUGAUGCUGAUGGCUUUGUCAAGCUAUCAAGAGGUGUUAUUUGUGUUGAAAAGGAUGGGAAGCUGGGGCUGUCUAUCUUCCAACGGGGUGCUGGUGGGGAAGAAGGCCGAGCGAUAGCUGGUAUUUGGAUUGCAGCUGAAGAUGCCGGAGAAGCUACUCAUUACAUGCCUGUGGAGGCGCUCGACUGCUGGAUGGAAGUUACAGUUGCCUGGUCUCUUUUCAGACUUUGA
rnacentral:rRNA from 1 species